UACGUAGGGAGCAAGCGUUGUCCGGAAUCAUUGGGCGUAAAGCGCGCGUAGGUGGCUUCGUAAGUCCGUUGUGAAAGUCAAAGGCUCAACCUUUGAAAGCCGAUGGAUACUGCGGAGCUAGAGUACGGAAGAGGCGAGUGGAAUUCCUGGUGUAGCGGUGGAAUGCGCAGAUAUCAGGAGGAACACCGGUGGCGAAGGCGGGUCUCUGGGCCGAAACUGACGCUGAGGAGCGAAAGCGUGGGGAGCGAACAGG
rnacentral:rRNA from 1 species